GACGAACGCUGGCGGCGUGCUUAACACAUGCAAGUCGAACGGAAAGGCCCUGCUUGCAGGGUACUCGAGUGGCGAACGGGUGAGUAACACGUGGGUGAUCUGCCCUGCACUUCGGGAUAAGCCUGGGAAACUGGGUCUAAUACCGGAUAGGAGCCAUUUUUAGUGUGAUGGUUGGAAAGUUUUUUCGGUGUAGGAUGAGCUCGCGGCCUAUCAGCUUGUUGGUGGGGUAAUGGCCUACCAAGGCGGCGACGGGUAGCCGGCCUGAGAGGGUGGACGGCCACAUUGGGACUGAGAUACGGCCCAGACUCCUACGGGAGGCAGCAGUGGGGAAUAUUGCACAAUGGGCGCAAGCCGGAUGCAGCGACGCCGCGUGGGGGAGGACGGCCUUCGGGUUGUAAACUCCUUUCGCUAGGGACGAAGCUUUUUGUGACGGUACCUAGAUAAGAAGCACCGGCUAACUACGUG
rnacentral:rRNA from 1 species